rnacentral:rRNA from 1 species
CGGUCCUAAGGUAGCGAAAUUCCUUGUCGGGUAAGUUCCGACCUGCACGAAUGGCGUAAUGAUGGCCAGGCUGUCUCCACCCGAGACUCAGUGAAAUUGAACUCGCUGUGAAGAUGCAGUGUACCCGCGGCAAGACGGAAAGACCCCGUGAACCUUUACUAUAGCUUGACACUGAACAUUGAGCCUUGAUGUGUAGGAUAGGUGGGAGGCUUUGAAGUGUGGACGCCAGUCUGCAUGGAGCCGACCUUGAAAUACCACCCUUUAAUGUUUGAUGUUCUAACGUUGACCCGUAAUCCGGGUUGCGGACAGUGUCUGGUGGGUAGUUUGACUGGGGCGGUCUCCUCCUAAAGAGUAACGGAGGAGCACGAAGGUUGGCUAAUCCUGGUCGGACAUCAGGAGGUUAGUGCAAUGGCAUAAGCCAGCUUGACUGCGAGCGUGACGGCGCGAGCAGGUGCGAAAGCAGGUCAUAGUGAUCCGGUGGUUCUGAAUGGAAGGGCCAUCGCUCAACGGAUAAAAGGUACUCCGGGGAUAACAGGCUGAUACCGCCCAAGAGUUCAUAUCGACGGCGGUGUUUGGCACCUCGAUGUCGGCUCAUCACAUCCUGGGGCUGAAGUAGGUCCCAAGGGUAUGGCUGUUCGCCAUUUAAAGUGGUACGCGAGCUGGGUUUAGAACGUCGUGAGACAGUUCGGUCCCUAUCUGCCGUGGGCGCUGGAGAACUGAGGGGGGCUGCUCCUAGUACGAGAGGACCGGAGUGGACGCAUCACUGGUGUUCGGGUUGUCAUGCCAAUGGCACUGCCCGGUAGCUAAAUGCGGAAGAGAUAAGUGCUGAAAGCAUCUAAGCACGAAACUUGCCCCGAGAUGAGUUCUCCCUGACUCCUUGAGAGUCCUGAAGGAACGUUGAAGACGACGACGUUGAUAGGCCGGGUGUGUAAGCGCAGCGAUGCGUUGAGCUAACCGGUACUAAUGAACCGUGAGGCUUAACCUUACAACGCCGAAGAUGUUUUG